CGGGGAUUAGCGCAGUUGGUAGCGCGCAUCGUUCGGGACGAUGAGGCCGCCAGUUCAAAUCUGGCAUCCCCGA
rnacentral:tRNA from 1 species